AGGUUACAUUCGAGAGCGGAGCCGAGCGCGGGAGACCGGACCCGAGAGGCGAGCUGCUGGUUCGGCACGGGUCGGCUGGCGGCCCACAGCCCCAGAGCCCCCACCCAGCAUCACACUGACCCCACCCCCGCCCUCCGCCCCAGGCAAGGACCCCCAACACCAGCAUGGACUGCUGCACCGAGAGCGCCUGCUCCAAGCCAGACGACGACAUUCUGGACAUCCCACUGGACGAUCCUGGUGCCAACGCGGCCGCUGCCAAAAUCCAGGCGAGUUUCCGGGGCCACAUGGCGCGGAAGAAGAUAAAGAGCGGAGAGCGCGGCCGGAAGGGCCCGGGCCCUGGGGGACCGGGCGGAGCUGGGGGCGCCCGGGGAGGCGCGGGCGGCGGCCCCAGCGGAGACUAGGCCAGAAGAACUGAGCAUUUUCGAAGCCGGGGAAAUGCACCCUGCGCUUGCGGGUUUUCUGAUACAUCGAGACGCCUGAGGCUGCGACGGGGACACACCUGGACCAACACAGAUACGCAGUCACCCCCAUCUGGCUGCACAAGUCUGGCCGAGGGGCACACGCACACCGCGGCGCACACACGUACCUGCCGCGGGGCUCAUUUCAGCACAGUGACUCGGGCGGGGGGUUCUGGGUGACUGGGGCCCCCUGGCACUCCCUGCCCAGUUCCCGAGGAGAGAUGGAUGCCGCGUCCCCUUCGCAGUGACGAGACUUCCCUGCCGUGUUUGUGAUCCCCUCCUUCCCACCAACCUGCCAGCUUCAGGAGCCCCCCUGCGCCCCAGAGACUCCCUCUCCCAGGCAGGCUCCGUCGCGGAGUCCGUGCACUUUUAGUCAGUCUCUAGUCCAGUAUGGUUCCCAUCUGCCCUUCCUCCCCGACCUACCCUAAACCCUGUGCUCCCAAAUCUUCCUUCUUUUGCUUCUCGCCCACCUCUCCCCGCACCCAGCAUGCAGCUCUGCCUCCGCAGCCUCGGUGCGCUUCCCUGCGCGCACUGCGGAGGGCGCCCUAAGCGUCGCCCAAGUACGCUCAAAAGAACAAGUCCUUUCGCUCUGUGCGCAGCUGAAAGGGGCGCCCUGCGUCUCUGUGCCGUUCCCGCCUGGACUUUGGACCUGGGGCAAGGAGAGAGGGGAAGAGGGUUUUCAUGGCGUCAGACGCCCCUUUCUCUGAUCGGAAAGGAAGUCCCUACCCCACGCCUGCCUGUGACGUCCCCUUCCCUCUCCCUAGCGCACUCUUGAGAGCAGCCUCUCCAGCUCUCUUGUUUAUGCAAACGCCGAGCGCCUGGAAGGCUCGGUAGGAGGAGUCUUCCGCGGCCCCGCCCCUGCCCCUGCUGGUCCCGUCCCCCGCAGGGCUCCUGGGGCUGUGGCCGGAAGGUUUUUAAUCUCCGUGUGUGCAUGUGACCGUGCUGGGUUGGAAUGUGAACAAUAAAGAGGAAUGUCCAAGUGUG